CGCGCAUUAAGAGCGCGGGCGCGAGGACAUUAACAUUAGAAUGCAGCAGACUCCUCGCAUUAGCGCGACAGCUUGCGCCGGGGAGCCCCGCGCAAUUUGCAACCUGAACGUUCGCACCUCCGUUUCUCUGCCACCUCGUUAAUUACCGUCACUUGCCAGAGGCAAUAAUUACAGUGUUUCACAGCUAUCCGCGAGGUGAGGCUGGAGCUCUUCUGGUUUCACAGCAACACCGGGCUUUUCCCCCAGCGUCCCUGCCAGCAUUUUGCUGGCAUUAUCCGAGCAGCUCACCAGUGUUCCCUCAGGAAGAAUCAGCCGAACCAAACUGUGAAAAUGACUCCAGCUUUAACCGGAUCGUACCCCGUUCAGAGAUCCAGAACACACCCAAGAAUCUGCCACCUCCACUGCCUUCAUCACCAUAACUACGGGAUGCAUGUAAACACACAUUGUACACUGAGUCUUUCAUCGAGCUGUCCAGUGCGGAGACGUGUCCUCCUUCCCUGUGCUGAAGGGGAGAGCACAUCCACAGCAUUUUUCAUCUGUAAUGGAGAACAGGAGGGACGUGUCACACUGGACCUCACCUCUGAGUUCAGCCUGAUGGGGGCUUGAGCAACACAGCUAUCACGCUGUCCAGGGACUCUGAAAAGAGAUGGGAGAGGGAGAGAGGCAGAAAGAGAGAGAGAGAGAAGACUGAAAAGAAGACAUAAUAUUGAAAAUAGAGGGAAACAUUACUGCAGUAUAACCGUCAUAAUUUUUACAGAGAUCUGACUUAUAAGCGUCCCCUUAAGAAGCGGAAGAUCUGAGAGGUUUCAGCGGGUCAGAUAUACACCAAUUAAUUCACCGCUGAGCUGGAGCAGUCUGGCUGAACUGCAUGAAAUUAAAACAUUAAAUACUCGCUCUGUCCUUCUGUCCUGGUCCUUAGAUCACACAGAGAGAAAGCCACAGAGCCCGAUCAAGCAGAAACAUUACUGUCAUACAUGGGCCCUGGCAACAAUGAAUAAUUUCCCAGGAAAAAAACAAUCUAAUAUUCUUCUAGAUAAUACUGUGGUGUCUUUUUUUGUUUUGUUUUGUUUUUUGGCUUUUCUUACCCGGUGAAGUCCUCUGUAAGUAGCUGUGUCCUCUGUAAUAAUCGGGUGAACUUUGUAAAUAAGUUUGAAUUAUCUCCUGCUGAGUGCAGAUGGUAUCAGUCUGAUUUGUUUACAUUUUUGCCCUGUCUGCAAGAGAGAAUUAUUAUGUCCCUAAAUCCAUAAAAACACUGUUUUUCUUUAAACCUCUUCCAUGACUCACUACCUAAAAGGACUACCUAAAACUUUGGGAAACUUUUUAUUGCCCGGGAUUUCUAUUCAAUGCAGGAAAUGCCGCCAUUUUACCAUGGCAAUGAGACCUGCUUUCUUGUGUGGUGGAUUGUGAAUCUCUCCCGUCUGGUGGUGGGCUGUGUAAAGUUCACGUGCUGAGUUGAGACAGUGCUCAUUGUCUCAGGACGCUGACAAAUAUGUUUUUAAUGAACUGGUGAUGGAUAAACGAGAAAAUGGAACGACUGAGAAUUCAUGCUAUUUAUCUUAAUGAUAGAUACCUGGCAGGGGAUUAACUGUUUAAAAGAAUGCACAUUUGAGUUUCUGUUCAUAUUGAGACAUUUUGUAUUUGGGAAUUGUUGAAACGCCCCAUUGAAAAAAGAAAUCCAACAAUGUGUAUCGCAUUCAUGUGGUAAGAUCAGAUUGUAUGUGGACAAACAAUCUUAUUUCUUUAUUAUUUAAUUAGUAUUGAAGUCUUAGGCUAUUGGGCUCAACACAAAAUGUGAACACUUUCUCAGAGAGCUCAGUUUCCCUUAAAUAGGUCAGAGAGAACAGGAAGAAUCCUUCAGUUUCCGGUUGGAAAACUGGGAUUUAGCCAAAUGCUAUUUUGAAUGAUGUUGAAGUCCAGUGUUUAUGAGCUUAGAAGUAAAAUAAAGAUUAAACAUCACUGAGCUGACUGGUUGGCUAUUCGUAGUGAAUCCAACUUUAUCCCACACAGAGUCAAUUGUUUGAUGAUUCUUUAAAAUUCAUACAACGGGAAAAAAAGGGGAAAAAAUCAGCCAGAUGAAAGCACAGAUGGUGUUUGUUUGGGCAUAUUAAAAUCUUCUGAGGACCAGCUAUUGUACUUUUCAUGAGCUCUGUGUGUUCCAAAGUCAUUCCAAACGAGGAAUUAAAUAUCGGCAUUAACACAGACGCCGUAAUCCAAACAAGGCAAAGACACACAAAGUCAAUAAAAUUCUGUGUCCCGAGAGCAAGGUUGGAAUCCCAUUGGCUGCGGCUCUUCUGCUUGUAAAACAGUGGCCUGGUCCUCCCCGCUCCUACACCCGAACUGCUGAAAGGCUAUG